rnacentral:pre_miRNA from 1 species
AGGAGGAACAACCACAGUGGCAGGGCCAGGUCUGGAGCCCUGGAUUCAGCUCCCGCAGUAACUCCGGAGCUCUCUGUCUGCUGCAGGGGCCUGGAUGCUCGGGGGUGGG